GUUUGAUAGAGCGGUGCUGUGGUAAUCAGAUAUCUCGUUCGGAGAACGUCAAUGCUCUACCGUUACAGUUUCCGGUAGAAGACAAAGCCGCACAGUUUUUUGGCGACCCGUGUGAAAAUCCAAAGUGGGCUUCGGUUAUCCGCCGUCCUUGUUGUCGAUUCGUAGCCCGAGAUCUGGAGUUUGUUCCACUCACAACAAUGUACGAAUGAAUCGCUCCAUUUCAUGUGGUGUUCACAAACUCGUACUCGAAUGAGGGGUACGGAAGGUAAGCUUACGAAUUCUCGACAUAACAGAGCGGCUUGUAUAUUUUUUUACACUCAAAUAUGCAUCGACAACAACUGCGCAUUUGUAUAUAUGCUGUGCGCAUUUCUGUAUAAAUUGCGCGCUUCUGAAUAAAUUACGCGUUCGUAUAGAAAUCGCAUUGUAAAUAUAUACAUAGCGCGUGAUUCGAUAUAAAUUGCCACAUAAACGUUCCAUGAUAUCAUAAAGUCGUAAACUAAUAUUAAUAAAUAAAUCGAGUAUAUUAAUACUAGUACAAAACAGACGUCAUCGUAAUUCCCGAGUGACAAAAAAUUGGUACAAAUACUAUAUUAUAAUUACAUACUAGACCAAAAGCAUGCAAAAGCUUGCUUAUGCGCUUUAAACGAUAUUAUAUUUUUAAAUUCACUUUCGGCUUCAGCACAUUUAGAUGGGUUCAUAUUUCGUAUGGGCGACCGAUGGGAUUAAUAGCAUAAAUAUCAACAACUGUAUCGUCGAGGAUUUGAAUUACAAACGCGUCGUUUGUUGACCUUUAUUAAAAGUGCUAUUUUUCAUAUAUUAUUGCAACAUUUAUGUGAUAUUGUUUAGGUGUAUCAGCGCCCUUCGAGUUGCCAGUUGAAGUUGUGAUUUUUUAGAACAGGCUUGUCAAAAAUCAAAAUUGUAAUAUCAACACAAAUGUCCGCUUAAUCAAGUCAAUUAUUUCUUAUUAUUAUUAUUUAAAUUUCUCAUUAUUAUUAUUUAGAAAAAUUAUUUCUCAAGGUUACUGGCUGUGCCAAAGUUAUUUAGACGCAUGUUUGAGAUAUUCAGAAAUAUUGUAUCUAAAUGUUUUAUUUUUUUUAAUGUAUCUAAAUGUUCCCCUUUUAAUGUAAUGAAGUCAAAUUACUUUGCUGAAAAAUUAAUAUCUCAACUGAAUCCAAGGUAUCUGAAUGAUUUUAUCAUAAGUACCAGCGUGACGACUGCGCUAUUUGUAUGCCUGUUUGAGACAGUGUCGAAAAUAUAUACCCUCAGAAUAUUUAUGUCCCCUUCUGUAUUUCUUAUAGGAAAACAAGAGGCAGUGGGGAAAUGGUCUGAUAUUACACUGAGCAGGUAAAACGUCAUGUGUUGAUAUGAUUUGUCAUGAACAAUAUUGAACUGUAGCUUUUUAGAGAUAGGUGCGUAGCGGGUGGCAGGAUAAUAGGCGAUCAAUAUUACUUGAGGAUCAACUAUUCUUGUCUGUUGACAUAAGGCUCGACUAUAUUCUAAUCAAGUUAUUACCCUACCCUAAACACGGAUAUUUCUGCUGACUUCCCACUUCGUUUUUUGGCUGCGAGUCAAGCUAAAUCGCAUAACAAAUCGACAUGUAAGCCGUGAAGGUCAUUUGGAAGAUUGCGUCAGGGGCUUGUUUACAUUGCGCGAACGUGCGCACAAUUAUCAUGAUAUGCGCGCAUAGCUUAGAUAGCUGAUUAGAAUUCCUGUGUUUAGCUUUGAUUUUGACGCGAUAAUUUUAUUUAUACAGUGAAGGUCUAGUCUGUGAAAUUUUUUAUGUGCUCAAACAAUGAAUUUACUUUUUGGAAAACCAAUGUCGAUAUACAAAUUGCCAUUCCGUCCAUUCCAUGAAUAUAUUGAAAUAGUGUUGACAAACAUUGGAUUUAGUAAUACACAUUUUAUUUUCGUGCUAAGUAUGGAUUUUAAUUUCGUUCCAGUGCUGGCAAGGACUAAUGCUUGCCGCGUGAUCUAUUGUGUUAAUUUUAACAAUAACACGUUUUUUUUCGCCUCCAAAACACUUCGAUCAUCGCCUUAAUAAUCAUGUGCUGUGCCUAAGGUAUUUAAAUGUUCACGGCAGAAAUCGCUUACACGUGACUGAGAAAUCAGGCUUGGCACAUUAAAAGUUUGAACGGCGUGGGCCAGUGUAGGUACAGUAGUGACGAUACUACUUUAAUAACUACUAAGGCUACUACUGACUUCGCGACGAAAGGCCUAAUUCGGUCGAAUCGUCGAAGAUCUAUUUGCAUUUUUCAUGCAAAUGAAUCCCAAGUCCGCAUUUUUCAUAUAAAAAAGCCGCUCGACGUUUCGAAACAGGCCUAAGCUCGCAUUUUAGACAUUUUAGUCGAUGUAAAAAUAACAAAUUGACCGUUUUCACUUCACUGGCUCAGUGGCUGACACUCAAUGUGGCUAGCAUGGUUGCAUGUAGAUAAGAAAUUAGUUUUAAACCCUAAGUGAAAGAUUGAUGUCAUUAUAUGCGAUCAUAAAAGAAGGCGUACUCAUCGUCAUUGAUAUUUGAUUGUCGUGAUUUAAUAAUGUUCAAAUAGGGACGUUCAAUGCUGCAAUAAACAAAUAAUAGCACAACUUGGCACACGCCUGAGGGAAUGAUGCUGACUGAUGACUGCCAUGACUCUGUUUAAAAUGGCACAAGCAUGCCUACUUUAAUUAUGGCUUACAAUUUGUUGUGUCAUAUUUGCCUAAAUUUCUGUCAUGAUUUCAUUGCAUGUGGGAUGAUUGGUUGUUGAAAUGCGUUAAAACUAUGCGUUAAAAAGAUUAACUUUUUUAUAUUCUCAAGUUUUCUCAAUCCAUCUUUCCUGAUUAGAAAAUGGGAAAUGAUUCAAAGGAUCUUCAUUUUGAAUGGAAAUGACCAUACAAGCUUUUGCCACGUAUUGUCCCAGACCUUAAAUAUACCAAUUCAUUCUGUUGCAUAGGCUAUUCGUUGUCACCCGGUUAAAAAUGAGGGUCCCUGAUUGGACUGAGGCCAAGUUCACAUGUCAAAACGUUUCAUGUGUCGAACCUAACGAACUCAAAUGAGUUUAGAUUAAUUAUAUUAUGAUAUAGGCUAUUAGGCGACGUUUGAAAUAGAUCUAUAAGGCCUGGUUUAUUCUAACUAUCAAAGUUUGCAUCGGUAAAUUUUAAGUUUUGAAGGAUUUGUAAGAAUUGUUGGAGCAAACUUAAAUACUGAGUCAGUUCCUUCAAAUAUUUCUUACAAAUCCUUCAAAACUUGGAAUUAGUUAUGUAAGAUUCCUAUUGUGAUCUACAAUUCCUACAUCACAUGAGAACUAUGAUGCUAAGUGUAAAGCAGGUUUAAGACUUGGUACAAAUCUUUGAGCUUUGGUAGGUCGCUUGAUAUUUUGUCUAACCUGACCCAGAAAGAUUUAAAUAAUCAAUCAAGUCUUCAAAGACUUAAAGUGCGAGUUUUAGCAUAUAUCCCAAAGUGGAUGAUGAUAUGGUUUUUGGUGAUAAUAUAUGCACUUUGAAACAGCUUGUACUCUUCUAUUUUUUUACACUUAAUUAAUCACACUUAUCAACUUAGAGACUGCAUACCACCGCCAGCAAAUUAAAUUAUAUAUCGUACACAGUGGCGUAACGCUCAUUAGGUAGGAUUAGUUCAAAAACUAAGGGCCCCCAACAGUAGUUAGGGGCCCCCAUCAGUAGUUAGGGGCCCCCAUCAGCCACGGCCUAUCGCCCAGAAAAUUAGAAAACGUAAAAAAUGCAGGUUAAGAAUCAAUGGGAAAAUACAAAAUUAACAAUGCUAAAUAAUAAAGCCUCCAUCGACGACGCGGUACAAUGAGCUGUUUUUUUAUUCCAUCUCAAAUAGAACAAAAGUUAUUCUUAAAAGUUGUUAUAUGUGUUGGAGACUUACUGUCAUUGUUAUAGACACGGAAUUUUCCAGAACAUUCUAUAAAUUUUCAUUAUAAAUAUAAGAUCUCAGUCAAACAAUGCAACAGUCAACAGGGCCCCCACACCAAAUAUGCCUAAAGGCCCCCCCCCCCCCCUCCUCCAUUACACCACCGAUCGUACAUCAAUUAUACAAUGGACUAGAUUCAGUUUACUCUGCCAGGCAAAGCAGGACAAUUCACAAACGUUUGCUAAUUUCUCAUUUUAAUCAAUUUGCCUUGGGUAUUAAUGCCUAUUAGCCCCACAAAUUUUCGUAUUAGACGUAUUAAUACGUGUGAUAUAGUUUUUUUUUAAGUUGUAACGCUGACAGACAGACACACAUGAAAACAUAACUUCCUCGCGGAGG